rnacentral:lncRNA from 1 species
AUGAAGCUGAACAAGGGAGUCCUGGUUCCGGGGCUCGGGGUCUUUGCUGGGGUCCGAGAGCAAUUCCACAGCAAAGAAGAGGCAGUUUCGGUGCUAAGGCCUGUCUUCCAGCUGGACAUCGGGGUGCUGUGGCUGCAGGACCUCCAGUCUCCCAAUGACAUCAUCCCUGACGAUGUCAAGAUUGAGUCGCUCAACUACCAGCAGCUCUCGCGAGCCUCCGGCGUCCCGCUGAACGUGGUGCUGCGCUGCGUGCGAGAGAGCGUGCUCUUAUAUUGUCAGCUCCUGAGGAACAGGGAGCCCGUCUCAUUUGUCUUUAAGAACAUCGGCGUUGUGACGUGCCAAGAUGACUUCCUCCUCAUGAGGUUCUUCUGCAGCUGCAUUGCAACGCUGGAAAGCAAUGCCACUGUCCUUUCUCUGCUCUGCACUAGAUUUUGGACGGAAGAUUCUGCUGACUUCGGGCCAGAGACCACCGCCCAUGGGAUCCGGGUGUUCCCGAGGUUUCAGCUCACUGUGGAAAAGAGCAGAGCAGAGGUUGCCGCAGAAAAGAAAGCGGAAGAUGAGUAGAGGGGGCUCUGCCAGCAGGCUGCUGCAGAGGCGGAAGACACUUCCCCCCUCCAUGCUGCUGCAGCGCAAGCCAAGCUCAAGGCAGAAAGACGUGGCGAAGGAGCCUUCUGCCAGGUGAGAGCCUUGGGCGAAAAGAAGAAGGCGAUGCGUGUGCUCGUGUAGGACUGGGCUCCCCUUUGGAGCUGCCGGCUCUCAGCACCCAGAAAGGCUCCUGACACACGUGUCCCAGUGGGGGCCGUUCUCUCCAGGGACGGCAAGCGCACAGCCCCAACGCAGACACACCAGCUUCAUGUUCCACCCUGGCCCCCGAUCCCUGGGGGAGCUGAAUGCUGAUCCCC